rnacentral:tRNA from 2 species
GCGCAUGUGGCGUAAUGGUAGCCGCGUUAGACUUAGGAUCUAAUGACCUGAGGUCGUGGGGGUUCGAGUCCCUUCAUGCGCA